rnacentral:rRNA from 1 species
GACGAACGCUGGCGGCGUGCUUAACACAUGCAAGUCGAACGGAAAGGCCCUGCUUUUGUGGGGUGCUCGAGUGGCGAACGGGUGAGUAACACGUGAGUAACCUGCCCUUGACUUUGGGAUAACUUCAGGAAACUGGGGCUAAUACCGGAUAGGAGCUCCUGCUGCAUGGUGGGGGUUGGACAGUUUCGGCGGUUGGGGAUGGACUCGCGGCUUAUCAGCUUGUUGGUGGGGUAGUGGCUUACCAAGGCUUUGACGGGUAGCCGGCCUGAGAGGGUGACCGGCCACAUUGGGACUGAGAUACGGCCCAGACUCCUACGGGAGGCAGCAGUGGGGAAUAUUGCACAAUGGGCGGAACCCUGAUGCAGCAACGCCGCGUGCGGGAUGACGGCCUUCGGGUUGUAAACCGCUUUCGCCUGUGACGAAGCGUGAGUGACGGUAAUGGGUAAAGAAGCACCGGCUAACUACGUG